GACAGAGGGUGCAAACGUUGUUCGGAAUUACUGGGCGUAAAGCGCGCGUAGGCGGCUUUGUAAGUUAGAGGUGAAAGCCCGGGGCUCAACCCCGGAACUGCCUUUAAGACUGCAUCGCUUGAAUCCAGGAGAGGUGAGUGGAAUUCCAGGUGUAGCGGUGAAAUGCGUAGAGAUGUGGAGGAACACCGAUGGCGAAGGCAGCCUUCUGGGCCAACACUGACGCUCAUGCACGAAAGCGUGGGGAGCAAACAGG
rnacentral:rRNA from 1 species